AUUGAACGCUGGCGGAAUGCUUUACACAUGCAAGUCGAACGGCAGCACGGACUUCGGUCUGGUGGCGAGUGGCGAACGGGUGAGUAAUGUAUCGGAACGUGCCCAGUCGUGGGGGAUAACGUAGUGAAAAUUACGCUAAUACCGCAUACGAUCUAUGGAUGAAAGCGGGGGAUCGCAAGACCUCGCGCGAUUGGAGCGGCCGAUAUCAGAUUAGGUAGUUGGUGGGGUAAAGGCCCACCAAGCCAACGAUCUGUAGCUGGUCUGAGAGGACGACCAGCCUCACUGGAACUGAGACACGGUCCAGACUCCUACGGGAGGCAGCAGUGGGGAAAUUUGGACAAUGGGCGAAAGCCUGAUCCAGCCAUUCCGCGUGCAGGAUGAAGGCCCUCGGGUUGUAAACUGCUUUUGUACAGAACGAAAAGGUUUCUACUAAUACUAGGAGCUCAUGACGGUACUGUAAGAAUAAGCACCGGCUAACUACGUGCCAGCAGCCGCCGUAA
rnacentral:rRNA from 1 species